rnacentral:lncRNA from 1 species
CAGGGUCUUCUGACCUUCUGAAAGGUACAUGGGUAUGUUUACGGAGGAAAUAAAAGAAAUGCUCCUUAUGGGAGAUAAGGGUCAUGGUGAUGAUCAUAAUACCUUUGAUGAGGCGAUGUCUGAUAUCAAUUUUGAAAAAUAGUUGAUGCAAUGAAGUCAGAAAUUGACUCGAUGUAUUCGAACCAAGUAUAGACCUUAGUGGAUCCACUCGAG